rnacentral:rRNA from 1 species
GUGCCAGCAGCCGCGGUAAUACGGAGGGCGCAAGCGUUAUUCGGAAUCACUGGGCGUAAAGCGCGCGUAGGCGGCCAUGCAAGUCAGGUGUGAAAGCCCUUGGCUUAACCGGGGAAUUGCACUUGAAACUGUGUGGCUAGAGUUCAGGAGAGGGUGGCGGAAUUCCAGGUGUAGGAGUGAAAUCCGUAGAUAUCUGGAGGAACACCAGAGGCGAAGGCGGCCACCUGGACCGAAACUGACGCUGAGGCGCGAAAGCGUGGGUAGCAAACAGGAUUAGAAACCCCAGUAGUCC